CGGUGCUCUGCCCUCAGCCCGUCGGGCGCUCGCUUUGGGUCGUGUGCUGGUCUUUCUGAGGGUGUGCCAACAGAGCUCAGGCUAUGUUAUGCAACACCCAAGCUAACCAUUUAGAGAAAGAGUGCUGUACAUGGACAUUUUGAAGGGAGAAAUUCUGGUGAACUUUAAGAGAAUUGAUUCACUCAACAAACCAGGAAUGUUGCUUGCCAAAUCAUUUUUCUGAAGCUUUUAUAUGGCAAUGAGGAAUUCUGGUAUGUAAAUGUCACAUCAAAGUGGUAAAAAUAUGGUAAGAGCUUUUUACUUAUUAUUUUCUACAGAUAAUAUGGAGGCUUUUAUUUUCAAACUUCAACUUGAAAAUCACCUCAAGUAUUAGAGUUUUGAUAAAGUUAUAUAUUUUGACAAAUAAAAAAAAAUAGUUCCAGGUAGCCUGCUGAUUAUGUGAGGUAGUAGUGUUAUUUUAUAUAUUCAACAGAUUGUAGCAAGUGAUGUUUAAGCCAUGGCUAGGUUAGUA